ensembl:lncRNA
UGAUCAUUAUUUUACCUUUUAAUUCUUUUUUUUCCGCUCUUGCCAAAUGCUUUGGCUCCAAGUUUCCUGUGUGCAUCUAUUGAUGUAUAUGUAUAUAUUUAUUUAUUGUAGCUGUCAGGUGUUAAAAUAAAUGCCGAAGAUUAGUCCCACGUCUCUCCCACUCUAGGAUAUAGAUUUUUAUAUAUUUAUUAUUUUUUUCUUGUUGUCUUUGAGUGAAUCGGCCGGUUUGGGGAGGCUUUUGCCACCCUCCCUUGUGUUGUUUUGGUUUUUGAAGAGGAGGUGGAGGAGAGGAAGGAGGGGAAUUAGGGGGCGGCCGAAGCAGAGAGGACGAGACAGUGCUUAGGGGGUGAUUCGGGCAAGUCUGGGGGCUGUCUGGCCCCAGACCGCGGAGAGGACGCGCUCUCGCGCUCUCGCUCUUUCUGCUGCUGCUUGCGUACGGCUUUUGAUCUUGCUGGAUUCGUGCGGCUGUGUUUUUUCCCUCUUUUCUCGCUUGCGAACUGCCUUUCUUGCUCCCUCGCUCUAGCCUCCCCUUCCCUCCCUCCCUCCCUCCUCCUUUCCCUCACCUCUCCUUCCUUCCCCUCUCCCGUCCUUCUUGGUAACUCUGGGAGGCGAGGAGGGAGGCUGCCCGCUCGCUCGCCCCGCUGGCUCCCUUCCAUCGGCCUCGGUCCUCUAGAUUCCCUAUCUCCGAGCCGAGAUUUGGGAGGAAAAAUGCAAGCGAACUCCUUGGGCUUCCCCCCCUCCCCCUUAAACCCAGAUGAAGUAUUGGUUCUACUAUUUCCUUUCAGAGCCGUGGUCUUCCUAAUGAGAUCUGAAUGUUUUGGUGUCCCCUUCCCUGUGUUUUUGGGGGAGGUUUAGCUUGCCUGGGGGCGGGGAUGUUGAAUACUUUGAAAAUUAUUCUUUCUUGGUUGUAGUCUAGGGAGUCGGGAACCCCCGCGCGCUCUCUCUCCCCAUCCUGGGGAGCGAGACUUGUGGCGGGAUGGGGAUUUUGGGGGUGGGCGGAAAAGGAUGCGCUUUUGCACCUGCGGUGCUGUUCUGCGUGCGGGGACUCCGGGAAUCUUCACAGGCCCGCCCAGCCCAGCGGGAAGGUGGCGGGAUUUCUGGCGGUCGCGGUGUUUGUAUUUUGGGCUCUGCGUGACUCGGUCUUAGCUCCCAAUGGCUGUUCCCUCGCUUUCCUAAAUUUUAUUUUUCCCAUGGUGCAAGCUUUGUACAAACAAACAAACAAAAAGCUGCGGGUCAGAAAGUAGCCGGCGUCAGGCUUCAGAUUGUCGAGGUCCUUGCACUGGGCAAGGGGAAAAACAAACUGCCCCAGCCCGUGUUCCUACGUGCAGGACCCGGGAGGAGAGAAGGGCACUUUGUGGCCCUGGCUGGGGGAAUCCGGCGCGGAAGGAGGGGGCGCGGGCGCGAAUGGGAGAUCUUUGUGAGUGAUUUUGCAAAAAAAACGGAUUGUGAGGUUGGUUGGAUUUGCAACCUGUGGCUCUCCUCGAGGGAGUAAGAAUGGGGGAAGGCGGCGGCGGCGGCGGCGGCGGCCCGGGGCGGGAGCGGGUAGGGAGUUGGAGCCUCGGAAGGCUGCGCUAGGGAGCAGCGGGAGCGCUGGGCCACCCCGCUGCCGGAUGUAGUGACCGUGGUAAAUGUCUUGAGAAUGUGGAUUGCGUUGCCUUUAUGAUGCCGUGUUAUUGGAACUCUAGCCAAAAAUGGAACUAGUGUUGCAAUAAUGAGUUUUAAAAGCUACCCUAUGGAAAACUAGUACACAACCCUACAGAUUGGAAAAAGACCCUUUUUGUGUUGUGCCCUUUCUCGAUGUUUGUCUUGGUGCUAGGGGUCCUGACAGCUGAGCGGAAGGAAUGACCCUAAACUGGGUGCGCAAAGUCCAGAGCUGUUACUCGGUCCCUGACCUCUUCAGUGAACUAGCCAUCCCCCCACCUCAAGGAAACUGAUUGAAUUUUACGGAUCUUUUUUUUUUUUUCAAUCAGUUUAUAGCUUCCAGGAGGAAAAUCUUGUGCUUUACUUUUUUUUUUUUUUUUUAAGUAAAGUGUCAGUAGAUGCAUUUUUUUACUGCCCGGAAAAAAAAAAAAAAUGGGGCAGGAGAGAAGGAACCAGGGAAAGGGCUGUUUAGAAAUACAGUUUGUGGGUCUGAGCGAUGCCGCCAGCUUCCUCUACAGAGACUGCCAGUUUCCCUUUUCUUUGCAAGGUGUGUGUGGUUUUAAUAAAUAACUUAAAAAGGGGGGGGGGCAAGAUCCAUCAGGAGACAGGUAUCUAUUUUGCUCACUAUUUACUACCAAGAGCCUUUGGCACUGGAACAGAACCUCGUAAAUCUGCAGCCCAAGUUGAAGUUCAUCUGGCCCUAGUCCACACGCUAUUCCUGGAGGUAGCAAACAUGAGCUCAAAGGAACAAGGUGAAAUCACAUUCUUGCUUUAAAAUAUAUGCUUUUUUUUUUUUUAAAGGAGAAAAGAUAUUUGUUCCUGGGGGAGGAGGAAAUGGAAAGGGAGUACCAGGAGAGGGGCAUUCCUUUCAUAAAAUGACUGUAAUUGAGUCUUCAGGCCAAAAUAGAAACCUGUAAAUGGGAAAUAUUCCCCUCCCCCCACUUAAAAAUAGAAAUUUCCAAUAUCCUAUUUGGAAGCCUGGGUUGGACUCUUCUGCCUUUCGCCUCCAGGGCCCCCUUUCAACACGGGAAUCAGAAGUUUACUCCCGACUUUUUUUUUGCUAGUCGACUAGUGUUUGGCAGGAAACUCUGAUAAUACUGUUGAGUGCCAUUCUGCUUUUUGAAGACAAGUGCACCCUUUCUCUUCCCAAUACAUUCAGCCUUUCAGGCUGGAAAAAUCAACGUAUGAAACAUGAACACAGCUGCAGAUACUGAGUUGUGGCUCCUAGAGGCGUGGACAUCGGGAAGAAAAUAUAUAUAUAUCCAGUAAAUUAAGUGUUUUCCAGUAUUGACCUAUGGAGCCCCCCCCUCAUCAAAAAAAAAAAAAGAUGGGGGCAGUCGGGUGUGGAAGACGAUUUUGGACGGACUGAGUCCGCCACCUAGUGGUAGGUCCUGGCUGAGUUCCCCAUGCCUUGGGCAGGGGACCGACGGAGUCACCUUCCUGUCCCUAAGUAUCCUAACGAGGUGCUAGGACUGAGAGAGGGCAACCUCCAAUAAGAAUGACAUCUGACCUCCAGAGUUUUGGUAAAAUGGAUGACAAUUAGCCUCCGUCCACAGUCGCCCAGCGUGGGCAUCCCUCCGCUAAGAGAACCAAAAAGUACCCCGUUUUGAGAACACUGCUUCCCCGCUUCUGUGGCCUCUCCCCAAGGAAAGUCAAUAGUGGAGGGAUGUCACGGAGGCUGUAGGACAUACAGUUCUUUACAGGUGAGGAGUCAAGCCUAAUGAGAGGGUUAAUGGCCAGUUAGUGACCUAACCGGAACUGGAUUUUAAGCUUCUGAAUUCCAGGUCAGUGACUUAAAGUCAAAGGCGAGUUUAAUCUCCGUCCCUUUGAGGAAUCUAAGAGAAAGGAGCAGGUGGAAACGGUUCCCUCUCUGUCUCCGAGGAAUUUGUUUAGAAAGUAUGGCCCAAGAUUUUCAGUAACAGAUGUGAAAAGCCUACUGUAGUGCUGAGGGGUGUGUGUGUAUUGGGGGAGGGGUCUCAGAAUUUGGGAGGGAGUGUGCGUGUGUUAGGGUGUGAUUAAGGCCCAGUCCCUAGACUUGCAGAAAUGCACCUUGCUGCGCCGGAGGCUCACAUUUGAAUCCUAAAAUAGCUCUUUUCCUUUUCUAAACUUUGCUUAGUGGCUUGAUGUGAAAUCACGCGUGUGUGUGUGUGUGUCCUAUGGACAGGCAGAGUGUAAUCCACAACAGCUUCUCAGCAAAGUUUUCUUUCUUGGAGCUCAAAACUUAAGAUGGCAAACGCGCGCCGAGUGCUGGCGUCCCCUAGCGACCGCCGGCGCGCACACCCGUGGGUGAAGCGGUUGUUUCCAUCGCUCUGGUCGGCCAGAAUCGAGUUCUGCCUCUCCCACUGCGGGAGCUGUUGGAGGCCGCGUGGGAGAAACGCGCCUCUGUUCAGGUUGGAAGCGAAUCUGGGGACGUGUUUGAAGAGCGGUCAAGUUUGACUCAUCGCUUUCCAAGGACAGUUAGUGCUUUCCAUCUUCAUUAACGUGAAUAAAGACCUUGGCUGACUUCUGUCCA